GCUCCUUAGUGAAAACUUCGGUGCCUUCGCUGUUUUCCAGUCCUGGGAGCCCCUGGUUCCUGUAAAAUUCCAAGCCUAUGGCUGUUCCACGGCUGAAAAGCUGAAAAUAAGGGUACAACGCAAGGCGUACAUUCAUCUUGCGCAAGCAGUCUGGUUCAAUGUGUGCUUGCGUCAGCUUUGGCACAAUACGAAGCUGCUGGUUCUCCUCGGCUUUGUACAGCAACCGGUAGUGAUCGUAGGCAACUUCACAGUUUCCAGCCUAGAAAAACACAUGCAAUGAAUUGCACGAUAUCCUGAAUUGCGCCCACAUGGCCUUGUUGCUCCCGGCACCAUCACUGACGACUGCUAUCACUACUGCAUUUUGCUUGAAAAGUUCGAGAACAGCCUCAAGCACAAGCCUGGCAAGGACAUCACCUGGUGCAGCUCCCUUGCUGGCGAAGCUGGCGAUUGGCUGUACCCAGUUACUGAAUAAAGGCACAUACAUGAACACAA